rnacentral:rRNA from 1 species
UACGUAGGGUGCGAGCGUUAAUCGGAAUUACUGGGCGUAAAGCGUGCGCAGGCGGUUUUGUAAGUCAGAUGUGAAAGCCCCGGGCUCAACCUGGGAAUUGCAUUUGAGACUGCAUAGCUAGGGUGCGGAAGAGGGAAGCGGAAUUUCCGGUGUAGCGGUGAAAUGCGUAGAUAUCAGGAGGAACACCUGCGGUGUAGACGGCUUACUGGACGGUAACUGACGCUGAGGCACGAAAGCGUGGGUAGCAAACAGG